AGCGAGGAGCAGAGGCCACCGUCGGAUACCCAUCGAAGAGCAGGGCCCUACCGUCGAAAAACCUUCGAGGAGUAGGGGUGGAAAUUGACCGAAACCCACUCCCAUUCUCGAAUUCCCGUCCACGCGAUCCCUCUCUCUCUCAACGACAUCGAAUAGCAGCUCUCUCUCUCUCUCUCUCUCUCUCUCUCUCUCCUCUCCACCGUAAGUCACCAUAGUUGCGGGUCUUGAAUUUCCAGUUCAAAGAGUGAUCUUCAUUUUUGAAAUUGUGUUUAAAAAACUAAUUUCCAGUUCAAUAAUUUGGUCUUGUUUGUUUGAAUUUUCUGAUUAUGAUAUUGAUAGAAACAUGUUUUAAUUGAUGCUGUGAGUAUUGUGAUGUAAUAAGGAUUCGGUGGAGUUAUGAAUGGCAGCUACAAGAAUGGAAAUGAGAGACACAUGAAAGGUGUUCGAUGAAAGGUUUCAAAGAGCCACAAGUUAAAAUCACAUUCAAACACUAUACGAUAUUGCUGGUGCUUUUUAUUCCAAGUCAUUGGAUGAAAUUCUUGCUUUAAUUUCGACCAUUUUAAUUUAGUUUGAAAAUGGAAGAAAGGUCAGGUUCAUCAAUUACUUACUAAACAAAUGAUUAUUUUUAUUUAUUGAAAGUUUGACCAAACAUGAUUCAAAAUCAAGGAACAUUGAAUUCUCACAGUUCCCUUCAAUUCAUUGGCUUGUUUUUCAGAAACUAUAUGAUCAAGGGGCCAGGAAUUUAUUCACAUUCAAUUUAGCAUUGUUAAAAACUAGCAAUUCAGUCAAUGAGGCUGCAAAUGGACUGUAACUCAAAAAAAAAAUUCACAUUCAGUUUACUCAUGUUUUCUUUCCUUUUAAUUUUUUCAUUUCAGUACCUUCACUUCAGAUCCACUUAUUUGGUGGACACAUUGAUACUUGAGAACCCAGAAAGUUGCAUCAGUAGGCAUGAGAAACACUCAUUCUCUUCAUUCAUUUAUUUUACUUCGUUUUCAUGAUAAAGACAUCUACUUUUAACUCUUUCUUUCCUGUAAUUGGCCCACGAUUGUCUGUCAAUAUUAGAUUUUCCUCCUAAGUAUUGGUACAACAAAGCAAUUAUAUGUAGCUUCUGUGCUUCCUAAAGACUUUAUGGCCGUAGUUGAGCCUAGAUUUCCAAUCCUCUCUCGCAUUACUGUUAUGCGAGAUUGUAUGACUGGUUAAUGGCUCCCUCCAUUAAUUAUGACUCCCAAGAUGUAAUGGAAGAUGCUGAAAGCUACAAGUUAGAAACCGAGAUAACUUUGAAGAAUAUUUUAAAUGGGGUCGAUUGAAGAUUACUUGAAGUACUUUUACUUGUUGAUUGGUUAAUCCAAGAGAAAAAUAAUAAGAGAUGGUGUCCAAAGUAGAAGAAGCCAUGAAGGGGAAGCAGCAGCAACAGCCUCCUCCACAGCAGCAAUUGCAGAAGCAAAUAAUGCAGUGCAACAAAGGAAAAUCAAGCAAGUUCAAGAGAAGCAGUAAAUGGAAAUUCCCCUAUCAGAUCAUUAACGGCUACCAUCUAUUGCAAAGUUUACAAUAUGCAUGAUAUGUCAAUAGAAUGUGAAUUCUGCAACUGGUACUUGAACUCGAAAUUAAGCUCUUGGAUUUAUAAAAAUUGAGUGCAUUGAGUUAAGGGUACUCUAUGAGUUUCUGUAUCUGUUAGAGGUUUCCAUCUACUGCAAAGUUUACAACUCCUUUGGAUUUCUAUUGAUUGCUGCUCCAAUUGGAGAGGGCUUAGUUAUGAAUUUUCCUUGUGGAUCUUUCAGGAUUGAUGUAACUAAGAUAUUGCUCUUUUUGCCUUUUGGUAUAAUCAGGAAGUUACCUUUGGUUGGAUUUUU